GAUGAACGCUGGCGGCGUGCCUAAUACAUGCAAGUCGAGCGAACAGACGAGGAGCUUGCUCCUUUGACGUUAGCGGCGGACGGGUGAGUAACACGUGGGUAACCUACCUAUAAGACUGGGAUAACUUCGGGAAACCGGAGCUAAUACCGGAUAAUAUUUCGAACCGCAUGGUUCGAUAGUGAAAGAUGGUUUUGCUGUCACUUAUAGAUGGACCCGCGCCGUAUUAGCUAGUUGGUAAGGUAACGGCUUACCAAGGCAACGAUGCGUAGCCGACCUGAGAGGGUGAACGGCCACACUUGAACUGAGGAACGGUCCAGACUCCUACGGGAGGCAGCAGUAGGGAAUCUUCCGCAAUGGGCGAAAGCCUGAAGGAGCAACGCCGCGUGAGUUAAGAAGGUCCUCGGAUCGUAAAACUCUGUUAUUAGGGAAGAACAAACGUUUAAGUAACUGUUCACGUCUUGACGGUACCUAAUCAGAAAGGCACCGCUAACUUCGUG
rnacentral:rRNA from 1 species